rnacentral:rRNA from 1 species
GAUCAUGGCUCAGGAUGAACGCUGGCGGCGUGCCUAAUACAUGCAAGUCGAACGAAGGUACUUGUACCUUAGUGGCGAACGGGUGAGUAACACGUAGGUAACCCGCCCUAGAAUUUGGAAUAACAGUUGGAAACGAUUGCUAAUACUGAAUAGGUAAUAAUCCGGCAUCGGAAUAUUAUUAAAGAUCCAAUCAAGGAUCGCUCUGGGAGGGGCCUGCGUCGCAUUAGUUAGUUGGUGAGGUAACGGCUCACCAAGACUAUGAUGCGUAGCCGGACUGAGAGGUUGAACGGCCACACCGGGACUGAGACACGGCCCAGACUCCUACGGGAGGCAGCAGUAGGGAAUUUUCGGCAAUGGGGGAAACCCUGACCGAGCAACGCCGCGUGAAAUGACGAAGCUCUUUUUGAGUGUAAAAUUCUUUUAUUAGGGAAGAAUGACAUAUAAAGGAAAUAGUAUAUGUGUGACGGUACUUAAUGAAUAAGCCCCGGCUAACUACGUGCCAGCCGCUGC